GGAGGCUGGCGGUGGACGAGGCCCUCGCCAACCGGGUCAGGUCGGGAACGAAGCAGCCCUAACGAGUUUCGCUUCGGGUCACUGUCCAGUCUCCGCU
rnacentral:SRP_RNA from 3 species